GACGAACGUUGGCGGCGUGCUUAACACAUGCAUGUCGAACGGAAAGGCCCUGCUUUUGUGGGGUGCUCGAGUGGCGAACGGGUGAGUAACACGGGAGUAACCUGCCCUUGACUUUGGGAUAACUUCAGGAAAAUGGGGGUAAUACCGGAUAGGAGCUUCUGCUGCAUGGUGGGGGUUGGAAAGUUUCGGCGGUUGGGGAUGGACUCGCGGCUUAUCAGCUUGUUGGUGGGGUAGUGGCUUACCAAGGCUUUGACGGGUAGCCGGCCUGCGAGGGUGACCGGCCACAUUGGGACUGAGAUACGGCCCAGACUCCUACGGGAGGCAGCAGUGGGGAAUAUUGCACAAUGGGCGGAAGCCUGAUGCAGCAACGCCGCGUGCGGGAUAACGGCCUUCGGGUUGUAAACCGCUUUCGCCUGUGACGAAGCGUGAGUGACGGUAAUGGGUAAAGAAGCACCGGCUAACUACGUG
rnacentral:rRNA from 1 species